ACGUGUUUAAAGUAUCGUCCCCAAACUCCCACCGCAGAAACACGAGACCAUCAAAAGAUUGGGUUUUGACUUGCUGUUUCCUUACGAUUUCUGGAAUGGAGAGAUCGAUAAAUUCGGCCGCUUGACGGAGGGUUCAAGCCACCGAGGUCUUGUCGCCAGUUAAGUUUGAGAUUCUUUGCUGGAGAGCCGGCAAACCGGCGGUAUCCAGCAACUAUGCAUGGAGCUCUCCUUAUUGCGUUCAGAGAGGCUGCUUACAGAGUGAGGGCGGCUUGGAGGAGGUCCAUGGUGCCAGUGAUGUAGAGAUCAGAUGCUAAAGAGGAAGUUUUAUAUUUGGAUGACCUGUUCUGAACUCCUGAUCUCUGUUUUGGGAGCUCUUCGAUUCUUUAUGGCCCAUUUUCUUGGGGCCCUGACUCUACUUCAUCGGUGCGCGUAGGGAUUGGUGAGAGAAAGUGAGGUUCUGGUUCUCUUUUCCUCUAUGGAUUGAUUUCAAGGAGGCAUGUGUUGGAAUUGGCUGAGAUCGAUGAUGAUCAGAAGAGAUUGAGUGUGCUGUAUCCUAGCUCUGGCACCAAAUUAGAUGGGAGGAGUGGUUUGAGCAGUCUUGGAGAUAGUCUUAUAGCAUUUAUAAGAGGUUUCAGAAGCGGUAAUUCGAAGAUAGGAAUUGUAAAUGGGAUGCUUCAUGCCUAGAGAUUUCUUCUAUCAAGCCAGUGCAUUCACAUCCUACAGUUAAUCUGGACUUGGCAGGAAAAAGUUGUCAGUUCAUGUCAUUUCUCAUGGAGGCAUAAGAGAAGAUCAUAAUUUGUAUUCAGCAAAAGAGCAUGGAGACAUCAUUUGGAAGGAUCACGAAGAUGCUGCUAUCAGUUCUUUCUUUCUUUGAAUCAGGACCAAGUUAUUUGCUUUGGUGUCUGUGACAUUUUUGCCCAGAAUUUAUGUAGACCUAAUCGACUGCUAAACCUGAGGAUUUUUAAGGAUAGAACAAUCACCUGGGUGGGUCACAUUAUUUGUCAUUUUGGUUAUAUAAAUUUUGUAUGAUAAUAAUUAAUAGGUAUGCUAGGCCCUGGCUCUAGCUAACAGAUUGUCAUUCGGAUACAAAAAAAUUUAAUUGGAAUAGUCGAUCAUUUUUCAUUUAUACGUUGUUUGUUUUUGAGAUUUUGCAUGCAUUUCUUUGCCUUGCAUGCAUAAUUAACUUUGCUUUCAUUUUUUAUUUUUGUAUUUAUUUUGAAUUGUAUUGACUAAAGGCCUCUAUCUAGAAAAUCUUAAUGCCCUUUCAACUUCAGGCGACAGGACAGGAAAGAAUAUCAGAAAUUUCAUAGUAUAUGUCAUAGCAUGGGAUCGAGAAAUAACUCAUUUUAGCAAGAGAAUCAAAAUCCUGAAUAAUAAAGCAUAAAGGUAAUAACAUGACAAAACCAAAGGCGGUGGUUUGGGUACAGGCCUACUCUGUCUGGGUUCUUGUCAAAGUUAAACCAUGUACAUCCUGAAUGUUUGGGCUUUCUGAUAUUGUGGCUGUAUAUGAGCUGCAAAAGUGACCAAAGGUUGCAGCUGCAAAGGGGCUUCCACUUGUAAAAAGUUGGGUUUUAGGCCCCUUUCAGAUUUAGUAGAAAGUCAAUAUGAAUAUUGAAAAAGUACCCCAUUCAAGGAUUCUUGUCGUGAAAUGACAAGGCCAUGCUAAACUUGGUGAUCAUGACAAAGCAUCCAUUUUCUUAAAUUGUUUUGUGGAAAGCAAAUGGGUAAAAAUAAGAAUGUGUUACUUGAAACAAGGACUCUCACUUUUAUCAGGAGGAUAUAAGAAAAGACCAACUAGGAACUCAUCAGAAAAAGGUUGGUGACAAUCAGUCACAACAAGGGUGAUAUUACAAUGCAAGUUUAUCAUAAAGCUCAAAGUCUUAGAAAGUAUAAAUGUUUAUUCCCCUCAAGUUUCUUGUUAAACCAAAUGCAUGAUAUUGUUCUUCUUCGUCUGCCCAUCUUUAUUAGGAUUUAGGAAAUGAACAACUCCAAGUAAUGAUCUUCUUAACAUGCCCAAUCCCUGGAAAAAAAAUAGUGCAUCAGUUUUGACAGUGCUGCUCAAUGUUCCAGGUGUGAGCAUCGUACUUGCAAUAAGGAUGAGUAGUUGUCUCCUCACCAUAUUGAAAUGACCCUUUUUUACAUUCAUUUCCUUCUAACUGACUUACUGUUAAGGUUUGACUUUGCCUUUGUAUGAAAGCGUGGAAUUGGAAGAAACUAGUGGAUUUUGAAACUAGGCAAUGGAUAGAUUAAAAUUUGGACAUCACCAAAUUCUCAUGUCCAAACUUUGACCUUGACCCCUUAAGAAUGGCUGAAAGUACACCUCAGCAGGUUACUUACAAGAUGACAGAAACAAGUGCUAGAAUAAGCCGAAAGCAUGGUUAAAGACUUUGUUCUAUUUAAACUUUAAUAUCAGUGGGUUAUGACAACCAUGAUUUCAUUAGGGGUGUAAAACAGGUAAGGGUGGAUAUCACUUGGAUCUUGCAAGUUUCAUAUACAAACCUGAUAAGUUAAUCAGGUUUGAACUUGAGCUGCUUAUUGGUUGCAACAUGUGUUCGCGUUUGUCAUCAGAUAUUAAACAGCUCUAUAGUAUUCUUCUUCAAUUCUUUUUAUUUAUAAUGUUCUCCAAUAUAUUUACUUUUCAUUAUAAUUUAGAAAACAACAUUAUAACAGUGGAGCUAUGAAAUAAUGAGUAUAAUGUUCAUAUUUGUAAAAUGAUUUCAUUUUUGAUGACCUCAAUCUAUCCUCACCUAAUAAAUUUUGUUUGGGUUUGUUAUCAGACAUCAAACAGCCUAUGUUACAUUCUUCAGUUCUUUUUACUGAUGAUUUUUUCUCCAACAUUCUUACUUUCAUUAUAAACCCACGUUAUAAUAGUGGAGAAGUGAAAAUAUGAGUAGAAUGUUCUUUUUUGUAAUAUCAUUUGCAUUUUGAUUACUUCAAGUAAUUCUUACCUAAGUUGUUGCAUUCUUGUUGGUUACCAGAUAUCAAACAGCUCUAUAACAUAUUUCUUCAAUUCUUUGUAUUGUUAAUUUUGUCCAAGACAUUUACUUUCAUUUAAAACAACAUUAUAAUAUUGGGGAAGUGAAAUGAUGAGUAGAAUGCUCAUAUUUGUAAUAACGUUUGCAUUUUUAUGCCUUCAGGUAAUUCUCACUAAUAAAAAUGGCAACCAUGGUAAUGAGGAAAAAUCGUAAUAAAUUGCAACUUAGCAUAUGGUCCUGCUUUGCUUCCAUAGUCUACAUUUAUCCCAACUUAGUAAUGAGGAAAAAUGGUAAUAAAUUGCAAGUAUCAACAAACACAUCCAAUCUUGGUCCACAGACUAGUUCAUCUUGAGACUGGUUGGAGUAAUGUCAAGCUUAAACUAGAGCCUCACUGCAUGGAAAAGGGUUGGCAUUUUAUGUUUGGUCAAUCUUUCAGGAUUAUUGCAGAUUUAGCAUGGUAUGCCAAUUGGAGGAAAAACCUAUUCAAGAGCCAGGAUUUUCCAUUUAAUUGUGAAAAUUACAACAUUGAAUUUGAUGAUUAUAAUGGAAGUUUCCUUUUUCCUGAAGUAGCAUGAUACCUUAUACAUAAAACUGAACAAAAUAUAGAAAUAAUAGGUUUUAUGUCGCAGAGACAUAAGAUGUUGAAAGUUUCUGAGAAGGAAACCAGAGUGGUGAAAAAGAAAGUGCUGAAGAAAGACCCACAAGCAAGAGAUCUCCAAGGUUGUUAAGUGUAUCAAUUAUCCCCGACAUGCCCUUUUAAAGAAGAGCUUGAAUUAUAAAUUAUUAAUGAAUGGAACCUUUCAUUCUUAGCAUACUUGGUCCACCAAUCAAAAAAAUAUGCAACAUAGUAGCAAAAGUACAUUGUUAAAUUUCUCACCUGUAGACAUGUUUAUCCACUAAACUGUUGCUUCCUUUAACCACCUUAUACAUGAUAUGAGAGUCCACUGUCCUAUUUCCUUAUCCAUCACACUUAUAAAAAUCAGUCAUCACAAAGCAUUUCCCUGCCCUUGUGAUUAAAAUCACCCACCUUGGCACAGAUCAAGAAGCAGGCGAACUAUAUGUAAUCUUUUCCAAGAAAAAAAGUGCCUUCUACAUGCUAUAAUCUCAUACUAACAUAAUUCUUCCUGUGCCCUUAAUGAUCUCUCACCAAAUACCUGACAUCUUAUAACAAACUUUGGCAUCCUGCCAUCCUGCAUUUCUCCAUAAUUCACUCAUGAUCACAAACAUCCUUUCUUGCUGUAUUAUUUAUAUCACUUCUUUUUUACCCUUACAUUUCCAGCUUGUCCUUUUUCGUCCAAAGUUUCUUUAAGGAAAGUCACACCAGAUGCAUGUUUUUCUUAGGUUGCAACCUUCAUAUAUAAUCUUUAGCAUUGUUGAGGAUUGCUUAUAGCUCCUUCCCUUCUAUACAAUUUUAAUUUAUUUUUUAAAAUGUUAGCCAUGCUGACUAGGACCUCAUCCAAACUCGUAUAAAUUAGGCAGAGGUGUGGUUUUGCUGAUUUUGUCAAAUGCAUGUUGGUUUGUGUUGGCCAUAUUUCUAACCCAACUAAAAUUUGACCUUCCAAUCCUAUUUUAAAUUGAACCCUUUAUUCAAUAGCCAUACAUUGAUGGCUUGGCCUUGGUUGUUGGAAAAAGGAGUACUAUUGAUGUUCAUCUCACUAAUAUGCAACUCCUCCAAUUAGAGGCUGUUCAUAUUCUAACUCUUUGUUGUAGAAUCACCCUCAAGGGGAAAAGAAUUCAAUCCAAUUUUUGAAUCGCAAGUUUUAGUGUGAGUUGCUCUUCUUUUUUGAGCUAAAAUCGCCUCAUUUGUUGUACAUAACAAGCAGGGAUGUUUUAAUUUGAACAUGAUAUUAGGAGUCCAUACAUAUAAAUGUUGGAACCACUAAAGUUUAAGGGGUUCACAUCAUUUUUUUCUGCGAUUCAAUUUUUUUAUGAGUUUUUGCAAGGCCUUAAGAUAGAUUAAACCUGUCUAUACCAAGAAUAGAGUUUUUUACUUUCCAAGUAAUUCUUGAUGUUUUGAAGAAAAUUGUCAAGUGGAAGGAUAUUAAUGUUCUUUUCUUCAUGCUAAUUUACUGUGCCACACUAAAUUCUCUUACGAUGUUUCGAGCUAUUAUUUGCUUGCAUCUAUCUAAUCUUUUCUAGGUAGACAAUGUGAAAUAUAUUGAUGUAGGCUUAAUUUAAUUAUGUAAAAGAAAAACCUAUAUUAUGCUUUACUUUUCAAAGAUGUGUAUCUUAAGGGAGGUUGGGCCUUUGAUAAGAAAGAUUGGUGAAGGUGGCUCUAUUAAGCCACACACAUAAAUUUAAGAUGAUUCUUGGUGGUUAUCAACGAAAACCUUUAGGCAUUUACGCCGCUGCAAGAAGAGUAAUAACAUUUAUUAAUUUGUUGUGUUAGCAACGAUCAAUUUGACGUUGAAAAAGACAUGAGCUUCAAAUGUUUGAAUUAUCCAAAAUAACUGAGUUCUUAAAAACGAGUGCAAAAGGCAAGAAAAGAAAAGGAAAGAAAAGGGUGGUGUGAAGGUCUAUCAAGCAUAUGUUGAGAGAAUGCAGGAGAUUUAUGUUAAAUAAAUAGAUUUGAGUUAUUUUGUGGCUAAAUUUUGAAAUCAAAAGGUUUAAUGCUAAAUACUCAAAUUUGAAUUCUGAAAAAAGAAACAAAGCAAGGAGACCAAGGAGAAAAUAAAAGUGCAAGAUAUGACCAUGAUCAGAAAGAAGGAUAAGAAUAAAGAGGAAACAUAAUAGAAAAAAGCCUUAGAGGGAAAAGAUAAUCUUUUGUCCAUUGACAUUGGUAUAUAAAGAGCAGAUGUAGAGAGAGAGAGAUUUAACAUAGUUUUGGAGUUUUGGGUGAAAGUUCAAACCAUGUGAUUUGCAAAUCCUCAUGUAUAACCAUUACAUGAUUUGUUGGUCUAUAAAUUCUUGUUUAUAAAAGUAAUAGUAUUUUUUAAAAAGUUUUUAUGAUUCAUGGAGUUGAUGCUUAUAGUUUUAGAAUGUUUAUUGGUUGCGCUCAUAGGGUUCUACACAUAUUCUAUUAUGGAGUUGCCACUUGGGUUUAGUUUGUAAACAGGGUAAAAAUCCUAAGAAACCAUGCCACUAAUCUUUUUAACAAUAAUUGCAUUGCAAUCCAAGAUGAGGAGGAUUAAAGGAGCAUCACCAAUCACCCCAAUAAGAAGGCUUCUAACUAUAAUAUUAGGCCUAAAAUAAGAGAUGGAAAUAAAAGAAAAGAAGAGAGGAGAGAGGAAGGUUAGAAAACCGAUGUGGUGUUUCACAGCCAUUGCUUUCUUCAUUGUCCACUUUCUCCACCUAAUAUCCAUGAUAAUGGGUCCACACAAGAUAGAUCUCCAAUCCAAGGGUUAAGAAACCGAUGUAGUGUUUCCCGGCCAUUGCUUUCUUCAUUGUUCACUUUCUCCACCUAAUACCCUUGAUAACAGGUCCAUAAAAGAUAGAGCUCCAAACCAAGGGUAAAGUAUGGGUCUUCCUUCCUUAAGCUUGAUUUAGAUGGGUGAAAUAGCAUAGAGUGUGGGAGAUUAGGGAUGAUUUGGUGGCUUCCAUUUCCAGAUGAAAGUGGGAGGCAGGUGUCUUAGGGUUAGAAGAGAGUAGUAGGGUCCUAGAGUAUGAAAGAAAAGGUGGUAGAGUCUUCCUUUCUCAUUUUCUACCUUAUUUUCUCUACCCUUGGAUAGAAGAAGAGUAGGGAGUUGGAUAGUUAAACCAACUCCUUCUUGGGGCUUCUAUGUAUUGGAGGCUUAGGAUUGAAAAUUGAGGUGCCAAGAGGUGAAUGAGUAUUUUGGGUUGCUGUGGACUCGUACAAAGGGUUGGAUGAGAUUAAUUUUCAAAAGCUUCCUUAUAUUUAAUUGUGGAGAUAUAGGGGUUAUAGGUAAACUUCAAGGAUGAUGAAGGAUGUUAGGAGGAAAGGCUAAUGAGGACAUGAUGGGCAUUGAUGCAGUGGAAAAAGAAGACAAAAAGAGAGUGCUUAAAAAAGAGAGGCAACUUUGUUGAUGAAAAGAGAUGGCAGAAUAGAAAAUAAGAAUUGGGGACACAUUCACUCAAAAGAGAGGAUCACUCUGAUCUUAUACAAGCUUCAGGUCUCUGUAGUCCUCUUAACCAUGAUUGAGCCUCCCUUUCUCUUACCGUACAAGGAUGUUUAGUUAAUGGAGUCAGGAUAACCCAUCACUUUUUCUUCAGGAGAAAAGUUUAUUUUAAAAUAAAUUAUUGACAAGCCACCAUCUGACCAUUAAUUAUUUCCUUCAAUAAUUGCCUUCACGCUAACUAGUUAUCUCGGAACUUAAAGGCUCAACAUCAUUCACUUUAAGACCCUCUUUCUUGAUGACAUUUAAUUGCAUCUAAGUAUCGUCAUUAUGUCUUCUUUUUCCAUUCAUAGAAUAAAAUUCCAGCUAUAGUUUACUAGGAUGGAUGAUCAUGAUGCAUGAUAAUAUUGAUGUCAUAUACACCGUGUGCAUACCAUCUGCAGAUCAUAGUUUGCCUCCAUCAACACGGGAUUUGGAAAGGAGUGAAGGACAAGGAAACAUGAGAGGUAUGAGAGCCUUAAUGACUCACAAAAUACAAAACACUAAUUUAACCCAAUGCAUGUUGUUCAGUUGUGAGGGUUGAUGAGGAAAAUAUGAGAACCUCUUUCAUUUGUCCUGUAAUGUCGUGCAUUAUGUUAUGCAGCCUUUGAGCACAAAUGUCAUAAUAUAAUGGUGAGGUAUCACGAGACAGAAUCUAGAUAGUUUUGCUUAUUUAGAAUCUAGGAUCUGGCUGCAGAAUGUAGUUAUGGAGGCUAGAAUCUAAAUAUUGGGUUCAAAGUGCUGGAUGGUUGCAUGUACAACCAAGUGGCUGUGUAGAUGGGUGUUGUUUGGAUGAAAUACUAAUGGUUGUGAGAUUAGAAAUAGGAGAUGGGUUUGUAUAUGAAGCCUCUGCACAGUCUUUAACUGCUUGGUAAAUUUUAACUAGUUUUGUAGAUAAAGAAUUUUAUAUGAUAGAGAGGUGCAUGCACCUAUGGUGUGGAUAACAGCAGGAAGAUGUUAAGAGCACCAUUCGUGGCAGCAAAAUUGUCCACAGAGAGAGGGAGCACUGCUUGCAAUAGCAUAUCUGUCCCUAGACCGGCUCAUUUAUGAUAAUCGUAGAGUAAAUUGUCAAAAUUGGUUAUAAGCAGACCCCAAAUGAAUGAGACAUGGGCUCGAUUUUGCCUUUUAUUGUAACAGAUGAGCUUAAUGUGUUUUACUACUUUAUUUACUGGGUAUAUUUCUUACAAGUCUUCAUGGAAUCUCGAUAUGCUUUGCAUAUCCAAAUGCAUGAAAAACUGUAUAGUGACCUUACUAGAGUAUCUUCAAACCAAAUAGCAAGGGAAAGACUGUAGCUCUACUCUAGGCUGAGGUAUGCUUGUAUUAUGUUACCAUUUAGUAAUUGAGCCUUGAAUACUCUAGGAUUGGAUGAACAGAAAUCGGAAUCACAAGAGACUUUCUUGAGGCUAGCAUUCAAUCUCUGUGGGCAGCAAAUUUGCUGCACUCUAUCUGCUUUUGUUAGUUUUCUGUCGCAUGAAAAUAACUUGAUCAGAUGUUCUUCUUUUUUUGGUAAAAAUUAUCUUGCUCUGAUGAGCACGAAAAAACAAUGAGCUUGUAGUUGUGGUACAGAAUAGGCCACUCCUAGAAUUGAAUAUUAUGUCUCAAUCUAUUUUCCUUCAGAUUUUGGAACUUUCAGUUACAGAUUCUUGAUGUUCAAAUUUUAGCAGCAUCAGCAUUGCAUAGGAUCAAGGUCAGCAACCUCAUAUUUUACAUCAGUGACAUCCGUAUGAACUAACAAUUGAAUUUUGCUUCUGUUAUAUAUAGUCAGCAUCUGGAAGUACCUGUGAUCUAUGGAACUGAUGAACAAGAAUAUCUUCAGGGGGUGCUGUAACAAAAAUACAAUGACAUGGAUAGGGUAAGGCAUGGCAUUUCAAAUUAGUAACCUGUAAAUAGCUUGGAGCAGAGGAAGUUGAAUUCACAUUUAGUUUUCGAUACUUGUGUUGAUGUUUACUUGUGAGCGAACUGAUUGGUCUUUUGACCCACGAAAACUUAGUAUUAACUCUAAUAUUGGAAUUAUGGUGCAACAUGAUUGCAAAUUUUGUGAAAGUUGCAAGAAUGUCCCAGCUUACAACUUACUGCUUCAUUUGACCUUGGUUGUAACUGCAAGUGAUGUGAAGUUGCUCUAGCAUACUAUUAGAGGAUGGAUUCCUAUUGGCUGAUGAGAUUUCUGAACAGUUGGACCAACCUCAGGACCGUAUUUUUAUUUACUAUAAGAAGUCUGAGUGUUGACAGACAAAAGCCCAACUGUAACAAGCUGUUGCAACAAACAAAUUCACUGAACUUGUAUAUAUUGGAUCCUGAGUCUUGUCUAGUUUCUCUCA